rfam:Trichobilharzia regenti genome assembly, scaffold: TRE_scaffold0005354
AUUUGAGCUGACGAGUCCCAAAUAGGACGAAAUGCGCUUUAUCCUGGAU